CAGGCCUAACACAUGCAAGUCGAACGAGAAGCUAACCUCUGAUUCCUUCGGGAUGAUGAGGUUAGCAGAAAGUGGCGAACGGGUGAGUAACGCGUGGGUAAUCUACCCUGUUUAGUGGGGGAUAACCCUCCGAAAGGAGGGCUAAUACCGCAUAAGGUCUUCUCCUCAUUAGGAGAAGAAGAUUAAAGAUGGCCUCUAUACUAUGCUAUCGCUUCAGGAUGAGCCUGCGUCCUAUUAGUUAGUUGGUGGGGUAAUGGCCUACCAAGACCACAAUGGGUAGCCGGUCUGAGAGGAUGUACGGCCACACUGGGACUGAGAUACGGCCCAGACUCCUACGGGAGGCAGCAGUGGGGAAUAUUGCGCAAUGGGGGAAACCCUGACGCAGCGACGCCGCGUGGAUGAUGAAGGCCUUUGGGUUGUAAAAUCCUGUUCUGGGGGAAGAAAGCUUAAGGGUCCAAUAAACCUUUAAGCUUGACGGUACCCCAAGAGAAAGCUCCGGCUAAUUAUGUGCCAGCAGCCGCGGUAAUACAUAAGGAGCAAGCGUUAUCCGGAAUUAUUGGGCGUAAAGAGCUCGUAGGCGGUCUUAAAAGUCAGGUGUGAAAUUAUCAGGCUCAACCUGAUAAGGUCAUCUGAAACUUUAAGACUUGAGGAUAGAAGAGGAAAGUGGAAUUCCCGGU
rnacentral:rRNA from 1 species